GAUGAACGCUAGCGGCAGGCUUAACACAUGCAAGUCGAGGGGUAUAGGUUUUCGGACCUAGAGACCGGCGCACGGGUGCGUAACGCGUAUGCAAUCUACCUUUCACAGAGGGAUAGCCCAGAGAAAUUUGGAUUAAUACCUCAUAGUAUAGCAGUUUCGCAUGAAACCACUAUUAAAGUUCCAACGGUGAAAGAUGAGCAUGCGUCCCAUUAGCUAGAUGGUAAGGUAACGGCUUACCAUGGCUACGAUGGGUAGGGGUCCUGAGAGGGAGAUCCCCCACACUGGUACUGAGACCCGGACCAGACUCCUACGGGAGGCAGCAGUGAGGAAUAUUGGUCAAUGGACGCAAGUCUGAACCAGCCAUGCCGCGUGCAGUAUGACGGUCCUAUGGAUUGUAAACUGCUUUUGUACGAGAAGAAACAACAUUACGUGUAAUGUCUUGACGGUAUCGUAAGAAUAAGGAUCGGCUAACUCCGUGCCAGCCGCCGCAGUAAUAC
rnacentral:rRNA from 1 species